rnacentral:rRNA from 1 species
CCUACGGGGGGCUGCAGUGGGGAAUAUUGGACAAUGGGCGAAAGCCUGAUCCAGCCAUGCCGCGUGUGUGAAGAAGGCCUUCGGGUUGUAAAGCACUUUCAGUGGGGAAGAAAGCCUUGGGGCUAAUACCCUCGAGGAAGGACAUCACCCACAGAAGAAGCACCGGCUAACUCCCGUGCCAGCAGCCGCGGUAAUACGGAGGGUGCGAGCGUUAAUCGGAAUUACUGGGCGUAAAGCGCGCGUAGGCGGUCUGAUAAGCCGGUUGUGAAAGCCCCGGGCUCAACCUGGGAACGGCAUCCGGAACUGUCAGGCUAGAGUGCAGGAGAGGAAGGUAGAAUUCCCGGUGUAGCGGUGAAAUGCGUAGAGAUCGGGAGGAAUACCAGUGGCGAAGGCGGCCUUCUGGACUGACACUGACGCUGAGGUGCGAAAGCGUGGGUAGCAAACAGGAUUAGAUACCCCUGUAGUC